CAGGUAUCUUGCCUCCUGGAGAUACUUGCAUUGCAGCAAGUUGGGCAGCAUACAACUGCUGCAGUUGGAGCGGGCCUAGGCCUGGUGUUGCUGCGGCAGCAGCUGCCAUGGUAGUCGGGAUCAGCUGAACAGGGUAGGGGUCACUGCAUCCCGCUUUGUAGCUGAAACCAGGAGGAAGAAGGAAUCCUUGCUGAGCAGCUGCUGCUAGGGUUCGUUGGUCUGGAGGGAAUACGGGAAUCAUUAAUGGAGGCAGCUGACCCUGGACCUGGAUCUGUUGCUGAAGAAGGUUAAUUUUGUGUUGCUGCUGCAGGAGCUGCUGCUGUUGUCUUGCAAUCUGUUCCUGUUGCUGCUUAGCCAGCUCCAUUUGCUGGCGUUGCUUCUCGAUCUGUGAGGCAGCCAGUUUCUUCUGUUCAUCGUGAGCUGCUAGCAGCUGUUCUCGCAAACUGGUCAGC
rnacentral:lncRNA from 1 species